UGGAGCUGUCUUUUUGUCUGCUAAUUUGGGAACAAACAUUUGCCUGCGUGGCAAACAAGCUCUCCCAGGAAUUGCUAUUAAUAGGAUAAUUAGGCAGACGGUAAUGAUCUGGAUUACUGCUAAUUAUGAUAAGAUUUGUUUUGGCAUUUGCCUGAGAGGCAGCGGAGAGUUCGAGUUGGCCCAGGAGUUUAGAGCUGAGCUGUGGAGUGCGGUGCACCUGAAUCAACACAGAGACAGUCACAGCGUGUGUGACGGGAGAUAACACCAAAAGCAGUCUCCAUCUCCCUAGAGCCCUGGCUGUCAUUUUGGCCAGGCUUCCAUCAGCUACACGCAACCUUGGGCAUUGGAGCGCCACAUGGGCCAGGUUGUCGUUGUGUGACUGAGCUACGGGACCUUAUUAGUGUCAGGCCAAGGAUGCUAGAGCUGUACUAAGCCUUCAGCACAAGUCCAUUAAGGAACAAUAUCAGCACAAAAGCAAGCAAAGUAAUUUGCUAUUAAAUCGCCUCUUCACGAUCAUUGCCGAACAGCAGCCAGAAAAAUGCCAGGAAGACAAAUGACUAUGCAGAGAAUUAACUGCGGGAGCUUAUGAGUUGAAUUUCCCUACAUCCACGUUGCAACUUGAAUUUCUUGAAAAAAAUGAGAGAAGAGAAAAAGGAGAUGAUGAUGAUGACGACGACGAAAAGGAGGUGGGGGGGAGAAAAAAAAAAGAAAUCAGGCACAGUGGUGAAGGCGAGUCUUAAUGCGAUUGGAGUUAAAUCCCAGACAGAGAGCCGCCUCCAUUAAAGCAUGCCACUCGCCCCAGCAGCUCCUGAUAAGACAGCUGAGGCAGGGAUUUACGGCUUUAGCUUAUCGUCAUCUUCACACCAGCCUCGCACUGGGCGCAGGGACCACAGCACCAAAUCCUGCAUGAUUGGGAAGCAAAUUAAAGUAAGCAGGCUCAUGCGAAGGGAGAGGGAGGAGGCCUGACUGGAAAACAGAUGCACUGAAUAAACAAGGCUGUAUCCCUGGCCCAGAAAUGCUUCAAAGACUGCAAAGUCUGUUGGGAAUGCUUCAGAAAUGUAGAGCAGUGUUGACUGCUUAGCUUUGCAUUUCAACAAAGCUCCCAGUUCUGAGCCCCAUGCAGAUCUCUCGUCGAGCAUACAGGCCCAUGUAACCAGUGCUCUAAGAAGAUGAGCUCGCUUUCUCUCUGGCACACACAUAUGCUGCAGUGCAAUAUAUUAAUGUAUGCUUUCUUAUGUGGCUAUUCCCAGAAUUGCUCACAUAACAUGAUGCACUUUUUGCUUUUCUUGCCUCUUAUUUUCUAUCUGUGCUCCAGGACUCCUCCUUUAUGCUUAUUAUUAUUUAUGACUUCACAGGUGUAGGUAAGAAGUUGUGUACACAGUGCUUUGAAUGGUGAUGAAAUUGUAAAAAAGAUUUUUUUU